UACGAAGGGGGCUAGCGUUGCUCGGAAUCACUGGGCGUAAAGCGCACGUAGGCGGAUUGCUAAGUCAGGGGUGAAAUCCUGGAGCUCAACUCCAGAACUGCCUUUGAUACUGGCAACCUUGAGUCCGGGAGAGGUGAGUGGAACUGCGAGUGUAGAGGUGAAAUUCGUAGAUAUUCGCAAGAACACCAGUGGCGAAGGCGGCUCACUGGCCCGGUACUGACGCUGAGGUGGCGAAAGCGUGGGGAGCAAACAGG
rnacentral:rRNA from 1 species